GCAGCAGCCGCGGGAAUACGUAGGGUGCGAGCGUUAAUCGGAAUUACUGGGCGUAAAGCGUGCGCAGGCGGUUGUGUAAGACAGGUGUGAAAUCCCCGGGCUUAACCUGGGAACUGCGCUUGUGACUGCACAGCUAGAGUAUGGCAGAGGGGGGUGGAAUUCCACGUGUAGCAGUGAAAUGCGUAGAGAUGUGGAGGAACACCGAUGGCGAAGGCAGCCCCCUGGGCCAAUACUGACGCUCAUGCACGGAAGCGUGGGGAGCAAACAGGAUUAGAUACCCCGGUAGUCCCUGUCUCUUAUAC
rnacentral:rRNA from 1 species